CUUGCCUUCUGCUAUCAGAUGGCAAAUAAAGAACAUUGAACACAAUAACUGUUUUUCUGCCCAGGGCUUCAAUAUCUUUUUUUUUUUUUUUUCUAUUACAGAAGGUUGGUAGAAAUGGACAUGCUACUUUGAGAUUUUUAAACAAAGGGUCACCUGUCCACAGCAAAGUGAACCUGGAGGGAAGAGGCAGGAAUCAUGUUCCGUCACCCGAGCCUCCUGCCGUGUGUGAGACGGGCUGCUGUGCCACGCUGGUGGAAUUCAAGGCAGAGAGAUCAGGGACCUGGUCUCCUC
rnacentral:lncRNA from 12 species